CCCUUCCUCCACACUUAACCAGUUAAAUGUGAGGCAGUGGGUGAAAGUUGACCUCCCGCGAGCCAGUUCCUCGUGGUUGGUUGAAAAGCAAGUUCGGGGCGGAGUCCCCCGCGAUAACGGUGGAUGAGCCCACGCUCG
rnacentral:rRNA from 2 species